rnacentral:rRNA from 1 species
UCGAACGCGCAUCCCUUGAACUUCGGGGAGAGGGAGGGCGAGUGGCGAACGGGUGAGUAACACGUAGGAACCUGCCCUGAAGAGGGGGAAAACGGCUGGAAACGGUCGCUAAUCCCGCAUGGACUCCGCGAGGAGUAAAGCCUUGGCGCUUCAGGAAGGGCCUGCGGCCUAUCAGGUAGUUGGUGGGGUAACGGCCUACCAAGCCGAUGACGGGUAGGGGGCGUGAGAGCGCGACCCCCCACACGGGAACUGAGACACGGUCCCGACGCCUACGGGCGGCAGCAGUGAGGAAUCUUGCGCAAUGGGGGAAACCCUGACGCAGCGACGCCGCGUGCGGGAAGAAGGCCUUCGGGUCGUAAACCGCUUUUCUGUGGGACGAGGAAGGACGGUACCACAGGAAUAAGUCCCGGCUAACUACGUGCCAGCAGCCGCGGUAAAACGUAGGGGGCGAGCGUUAUCCGGAAUCACUGGGCGUAAAGGGCGUCUAGGCGGCACGUCAAGUCUUGCGUGAAAGCUCCUGGCUCAACUAGGAGAGUGCGUGGGAAACUGGCGAGCUUGAGACGUGGAGGGGUGCACGGAAUUCCCGGUGGAGUGGUGGAAUGCGUUGAGAUCGGGAGGAACACCAGAAGCGAAGGCGGUGCACUGGCCACGGACUGACGCUGAAGCGCGACAGCGUGGGGAGCGAACGGGAUUAGAUACCCCGGUAGUCCACGCCGUAAACGAUGACGACUAGGUGUGUGUAACCGAAGGGUUAUGCGUACCGCAGCAAACGCGAUAAGUCGUCCGCCUGGGGAGUACGGCCGCAAGGCUAAAACUCAAAGGAAUUGACGGGG